AACGAACGCUGGCGGCAGGCCUAACACAUGCAAGUCGAGCGAGACCUUCGGGUCUAGCGGCGGACGGGUGAGUAACGCGUGGGAACGUGCCCUUUUCUGCGGAAUAGCCUCGGGAAACUGAGCGUAAUACCGCAUACGCCCUUUGGGGGAAAGAUUUAUCGGAAAAGGAUCGGCCCGCGUUGGAUUAGGUAGUUGGUGGGGUAAUGGCCUACCAAGCCUACGAUCCAUAGCUGGUUUGAGAGGAUAAUCAGCCACACUGGGACUGAGACACGGCCCAGACUCCUACGGGAGGCAGCAGUGGGGAAUCUUAGACAAUGGGGGCAACCCUGAUCUAGCCAUGCCGCGUGAGUGAUGAAGGCCUUAGGGUUGUAAAGCUCUUUCAGCUGGGAAGAUAAUGACGGUACCAGCAGAAGAAGCCCCGGCUAACUCCGUG
rnacentral:rRNA from 1 species